GGCAAACGGGUGCGGAACACGUACAGAACCUUCCUUCGAGCGGGGAACAGCCCGGAGAAAUCCGGAUUAAUACCCCAUAGUAAAUUGGAGAGGCAUCUCUUUGAUUUUAAAGAUUUAUCACUUGAAGAUGGCUGUGCGCCUGAUUAGGUAGUUGGCGGGGUAAUGGCCCACCAAGCCUACGAUCAGUAACUGGUGUGAGAGCACGACCAGUCACACGGGCACUGAGACACGGGCCCGACUCCUACGGGAGGCAGCAGUAAGGAAUAUUGGUCAAUGGACGAAAGUCUGAACCAGCCAUGCCGCGUGGAGGAUGAAGGUCCUCUGGAUUGUAAACUUCUUUUAUAUGGGACGAAAAAGGGCCUUUCUAGGUCAACUGACGGUACCAUGUGAAUAAGCACCGGCUAACUCCGUGCCAGCAGCCGCGGUAAUACGGAGGGUGCAAGCGUUAUCCGGAUUCACUGGGUUUAAAGGGUGCGUAGGUGGGUUGGUAAGUCAGUGGUGAAAUCUCCGAGCUUAACUUGGAAACUGCCAUUGAUACUAUCAGUCUUGAAUACCGUGGAGGUCAGCGGAAUAUGUCAUGUAGCGGUGAAAUGCUUAGAUAUGACAUAGAACACCAAUUGCGAAGGCAGCUGGCUACACGAAUAUUGACACUGAGGCACGAAAGCGUGGGGAUCAAACAUGAUUAGAUACCCUGGUAGUCC
rnacentral:rRNA from 1 species